rnacentral:piRNA from 1 species
UAACNGGUUGCAGCAGAGUGAACUCUGGU